CAGCCGCCACGGUAAUACGUAGGGUGCGAGCGUUAAUCGGAAUUACUGGGCGUAAAGCGUGCGCAGGCGGUUGUGUAAGACAGGUGUGAAAUCCCCGGGCUUAACCUGGGAACUGCGCUUGUGACUGCACAGCUAGAGUAUGGCAGAGGGGGGUGGAAUUCCACGUGUAGCAGUGAAAUGCGUAGAUAUGCGGAGGAACACCGAUGGCGAAGGCAGCCCCCUGGGCCAACACUGACGCUCAUGCACGAAAGCGUGGGGAGCAAACAGGAUUAGAGACCCCUGUAGUCCCUGUCUCUUAUAC
rnacentral:rRNA from 1 species